UACGAAGGGGGCUAGCGUUGCUCGGAAUCACUGGGCGUAAAGCGCACGUAGGCGGAUUGUUAAGUCAGGGGUGAAAUCCUGGAGCUCAACUCCAGAACUGCCUUUGAUACUGGCGAUCUUGAGUCCGGGAGAGGUGAGUGGAACUGCGAGUGCAGAGGUGAAAUGCGUAGAUAUCGGAAGGAACAUCAGUGGCGAAAGCGGCUUCCUGGUCCAGCACCGACGUUCAGGCACGAAAGCGUGGGGAGCAAACAGG
rnacentral:rRNA from 1 species